rnacentral:rRNA from 1 species
GAUAGGCUAAUUAAGAGCGUAAGGGGGAUACCUUGGCUCUCAGAGGCGAUGAAGGACGUGAUAAGCUGCGAAAAGUUACGGGGAGUGGCACAUACAUUUUGAUCCGUAAAUGUCCGAAUGGGGAAACCCGAUUAUUUGAAGAAUAAUCAUCCAUACUUGUAUGGAAGCAGACCCGGAGAACUGAAACAUCUAAGUACCCGGAGGAAUAGAAAACAAUAGUGAUUCUGCUAGUAGCGGCGAGCGAACGCGGAAUAGCCCAAACCUAAAUUG